rnacentral:lncRNA from 1 species
CAGAGCCACGCCAAGGAGGCCUCAACCCUUAAUUAAACACUCUAUCGCUCUUGCAACACGUCUCUGUGCUGGGACGAUUGGGACAGUACUGCCCUCUACUGACGAUUCAGACCUGUUUCAAUGCCUGCAAUGCUGGAGGACAGAUGAGUCAAAAAAGCGAGAAAUACAUGUGGGACAGGACAGACUGAAUACAACUUCCUCCUCACUGUGCCAGCUGCCGGAGGCUGAAAGGGAAGGAAUGCUCCUCAAGCAUCUGCUCCAGGGCAUUCAUUGCAGAUGGGAUGCUGGGCAACUGGUCCUAAACACUGCGGCUCAUGGUCUAGGUUGAUAUCUGGGCUGAAAAGGGGAGACUCAGAUAUUUUGGGAACAAUCAUACCUAGUAAAGCAAUGCAGCAGGAUGCUGAACAGGCUGAUACUCAUUUGUGAGAAAGAAAGACAAAGAGUGAUUUCAGAUGUCGUCUUCUGCCUCUUCCACCUGGAGUUCUUCCAUCUGCUUGCUCUCCUGCACCCAACCCAACUCCAUCCAACCUGGAGUGUUGCCUCAAGCAAUACUCUUGAUGUCUUUCUUUAUUCCACCUGUAAUUGCAGCCUGUCACUUGGUUUAACUGAGAGCACACUGGUUGCCAUCUGCAGACUGAGAAGUGAGCAAGAAAUAUUGAAGAUGUGAGCAGGAACACUCAAUAUCAUCAAUACAGAUGGACGCAGGCUUGCUGAAUGAGCAGGACACCACUCUAUGCUGGUGGGACCCAGGACUCCACAGACUGUGGAUGAUGGACAAUGGUGAGCUGAGCCCAGGAGGUCCCCAUGGUCACCAGGGACAUAGGUCGCCUGUGUCUCCAGGGUUAGAGUCUACCCUGUGAAUGGAAUUUGAAAGGAUGCAAGUCUGUUUUGGGUUUUAUCUUACUUCUCAGUCUCUAUUAAUACUUAGAAUCAUGGAAUCAUUAAGGUUGGAAAAGACCACCAAGACUAUCUAGUCCAACCAUCAACCCAUCACCACCAUGCCCUCCAAACCAUGUCCCUCAGUGCCACAUCUACGUGGUUCUUGAAAAUCUCCAGGGACAGUGAUUCCACCACCUGUUCCAAUA